AUUGAACGCUGGCGGCAGGCCUAACACAUGCAAGUCGAACGGUAACAGGAAGCAGCUUGCUGCUUCGCUGACGAGUGGCGGACGGGUGAGUAAUGUCUGGGAAACUGCCUGAUGGAGGGGGAUAACUACUGGAAACGGUAGCUAAUACCGCAUAACGUCGCAAGACCAAAGAGGGGGACCUUCGGGCCUCUUGCCAUCGGAUGUGCCCAGAUGGGAUUAGCUAGUAGGUGGGGUAACGGCUCACCUAGGCGACGAUCCCUAGCUGGUCUGAGAGGAUGACCAGCCACACUGGAACUGAGACACGGUCCAGACUCCUACGGGAGGCGGCAGUGGGGAAUAUUGCACAAUGGGCGCAGGCCUGAUGCAGCCAUGCCGCGUGUAUGAAGAAGGCCUUCGGGUUGUAAUGUACUUUCAGGGGGGAGGAAGGCGACAGGGUUACUACCCCGGUCUCUUGGCCGUUUCCAGAAGAAGAGGGUCGGCU
rnacentral:rRNA from 1 species